GACGAACGCUGGCGGCGUGCCUAAUACAUGCAAGUCGAGCGAAUCAAUAGGAGCUUGCUCCUGUUGGUUAGCGGCGGACGGGUGAGUAACACGUGGGCAACCUGCCUGUAAGACUGGGAUAACACCGGGAAACCGGUGCUAAUACCGGAUAAUCUUUUUCCUCCCAUGAGGAAAAACUGAAAGUCGGUUUCGGCUGACACUUACAGAUGGGCCCGCGGCGCAUUAGCUAGUUGGUGAGGUAACGGCUCACCAAGGCGACGAUGCGUAGCCGACCUGAGAGGGUGAUCGGCCACACUGGGACUGAGACACGGCCCAGACUCCUACGGGAGGCAGCAGUAGGGAAUCUUCCACAAUGGACGAAAGUCUGAUGGAGCAACGCCGCGUGAGCGAUGAAGGCCUUCGGGUCAUAAAGCUCUGUUGUUAGGGAAGAACAAGUACCGGAGUAACUGCCGGUACCUUGACGGUACCUAACCAGAAAGCCACGGCUAACUACGUGCCAGCCGCCGCAGUAACAC
rnacentral:rRNA from 1 species